rnacentral:rRNA from 1 species
AGUGAACGCUGGCGGUAGGCCUAACACAUGCAAGUCGAACGGCAGCACAGUAAGAGCUUGCUCUUACGGGUGGCGAGUGGCGGACGGGUGAGGAAUACAUCGGAAUCUACUUUUUCGUGGGGGAUAACGUAGGGAAACUUACGCUAAUACCGCAUACGACCUACGGGUGAAAGCAGGGGAUAUUCGGACCUUGCGCGACUGAAUGAGACGAUGCCGGAUUAGCUAGUUGGCGGGGUAAAGGCCCACCAAGGCGACGAUCCGUAGCUGGUCUGAGAGGAUGAUCAGCCACACUGGAACUGAGACACGGUCCAGACUCCUACGGGAGGCAGCAGUGGGGAAUAUUGGACAAUGGGCGCAAGCCUGAUCCAGCCAUACCGCGUGGGUGAAGAAGGUCUUCGGGUUGUAAAGCCCUUUUGUUGGGAAAGAAAAGCAGCAUGUUAAUCCCCCGCUGUUCUGACGGUACCCAAAGAAUAAGCACCGGCUAACUUCGUG